rnacentral:rRNA from 1 species
CCUGCCCAAGGUUUCCUACGCAACGUUCAUCGGCGUAGGGUGAGUCGGCCCCUAAGGCGAGGCAGAAAUGCGUAGUCGAUGGGAAAACAGGUCAAUAUUCCUGUACCGAUUCUAGAUGCGAUGUGGGGACGGAGAAGGUUAGGUCAGCCGGGUGUUGGACGUCCCGGUUUAAGCGUGUAGGCGUGCCCCUUAGGCAAAUCCGGGGGGCUUAGCUGAGGCGUGAUGACGAGGAACCACGGUUCCGAAGUGAUUGAUACCAAGCUUCCAGGAAAAGCCACUAAGCUUCAGUCUAGAGUUGACCGUACCGCAAACCGACACAGGUGGGCAGGAUGAAAAUUCUAAGGCGCUUGAGAGAACCCAGGAGAAGGAACUCGGCAAAUUAACACCGUAACUUCGGGAGAAGGUGUGCCCCGGUAGCGUGUAGCGACUUGCUCGCGAAGCGUGAUGGGGUUGCAGUGAAAUGGUGGCUGCGACUGUUUAAUAAAAACACAGCACUCUGCAAACACGAAAGUGGACGUAUAGGGUGUGACGCCUGCCCGGUGCCGGAAGGUUAAGUGAUGGGGUGCAAGCUCUUGAUCGAAGCCCCGGUAAACGGCGGCCGUACAAUAACGGUCCUAAGGUAGCGAAAUUCCUUGUCGGGUAAGUUCCGACCUGCACGAAUGGCGUAACGAUGGCCACACUGUCUCCUCCUGGGACUCAGCGAAGUUGAAAUGUUUGUGAAGAUGCAAUCUCCCCGCGGCAAGACGGAAAGACCCCAUGAACCUUUACUGUAGCUUUGCAUUGGACUUUGAACCGGUCUGUGUAGGAUAGGUGGGAGACUGUGAAGCCGGGACGCUAGUUUCGGUGGAGUCAACCUUGAAAUACCACCCUGAUUUGUUUGAGGUUCUAACCUUGGUCCGUGAAUCCGGAUCGGGGACCGUGCAUGGUAGGCAGUUUGACUGGGGCGGUCUCCUCCCAAAAGGUAACGGAGGAGUACGAAGGUACGCUUAGGGCGGUCGGACAUCGCCCACAAAGUGCAAUGGCAAAAGCGUGCUUGACUGCGAGACCCACAAGUCGAGCAGGUACGAAAGUAGGUCAUAGUGAUCCGGUGGUUCUGUAUGGAAGGGCCAUCGCUCAACGGAUAAAAGGUACUCUGGGGAUAACAGGCUAAUUCCUCCCAAGAGUUCAUAUCGACGGGGGAGUUUGGCACCUCGAUGUCGGCUCAUCACAUCCUGGGGCUGUAGUCGGUCCCAAGGGUAUGGCUGUUCGCCAUUUAAAGUGGUACGCGAGCUGGGUUUAAAACGUCGUGAGACAGUUUGGUCCCUAUCUGCCGUGGGCGCUGGAAAUUUGGAGGGGGCUGCUCCUAGUACGAGAGGACCGGAGUGGACGAACCUCUGGUGUACCGGUUAUGACGCCAGUCGUAUUGCCGGGUAGCUAAGUUCGGAAGAGAUAAACGCUGAAAGCAUCUAAGCGUGAAACUCGCCUUAAGAUGAGAUUUCCCGGAGUCUUGAACUCCCUGAAGGGUCGUCGAAGACCACGACGUUGAUAGGUCAGGUGUGGAAGCGCAGUAAUGCGUUAAGCUAACUGAUACUAAUUGCCCGUGCGGCUUGAUC